rnacentral:rRNA from 1 species
GACGAGGGAUCCUAGCGUUGUUCGGAAUUAUUGGGCGUAAAGCGGGUGCAGGUGGCCUCGUAAGCCGAGUGUGAAAGCCUAGGGCUUAACCCUAGAAGUGCAUUCGAUACUGCGAGGCUUGAGUGUUGGAGAGGUUAUCAGAAUUCCUGGUGUAGUGGUGAAAUACGUAGAUAUCAGGAGGAACACCAGUGGCGAAGGCGGCCAACUGGCCGGAGACUGACGCUGAGACGCGAAAGCGUGGGGAGCAAACAGG